rnacentral:rRNA from 1 species
AUUGAACGCUGGCGGCAUGCCUUACACAUGCAAGUCGUACGGUAACAGGUUAAGCUGACGAGUGGCGAACGGGUGAGUAAUAUAUCGGAACGUGCCCAGUCGUGGGGGAUAACUGCUCGAAAGAGCAGCUAAUACCGCAUACGACCUGAGGGUGAAAGCGGGGGAUCGCAAGACCUCGCGCGAAUGGAGCGGCCGAUAUCAGAUUAGGUAGUUGGUGGGGUAAAGGCCCACCAAGCCAACGAUCUGUGGCUGGUCUGAGAGGACGACCAGCCACACUGGGACUGAGACACGGCCCAGACUCCUACGGGAGGCAGCAGUGGGGAAUUUUGGACAAUGGGCGCAAGCCUGAUCCAGCCAUGCCGCGUGCGGGAAGAAGGCCUUCGGGUUGUAAACCGCUUUUGUCAGGGAAGAAAAGGUUCUGGUUAAUACCUGGGACUCAUGACGGUACCUGAAGAAUAAGCACCGGCUAACUACGUGCCAGCAGCCGCCGUAAAAC